GAACGCACCUUGCGCCCUUUGGCCAUUCCGAAGGGCAUGCCUGUUUGAGUAUCAUGAACACCUCAACUCUUCAUGGUUUUCCAUGAUGAGUUUGGACUUUGGGGGUUUUGCUGGCCCUACGGUCAGCUCCUCUGAAAUAAAUCAGCUUGCCAGUGUUUGGUGGGUAUCAUAGGUGUGAUAACUAUCUACGCUUGUGGUUCUUCCACCAGGUAACCUUCAGCAGUGGAGGUUCACUGGAGCUCAUAAACGUCUCUCCUCAGCGAGGACAGCUCUUUUGAAUGUUUGAUCUCAAAUCAGGUAGGACUACCCGCUGAACUUAAG
rnacentral:misc_RNA from 1 species